UACGUAGGAUGCAAGCGUUGUCCGGAAUUAUUGGGCGUAAAGAGAACGUAGGUGGUUUCUUAAGUUCGAUCUUAAAGACCGGGGCUCAACCUCGGGGAAUGGAUUGAAAACUGGGAGACUAGAGGAUGUUAGAGGACGGUGGAAUUCCAAGUGUAGCGGUGAAAUGCGUAGAUAUUUUGGAGGAACACCAGUGGCGAAAGCGGCCGUCUGGGACAUUCCUGACACUGAGGUUCGAAAGCUCGGGGAGCAAACAGG
rnacentral:rRNA from 1 species